ACUCCUUUCUAUUCACACCAAACAAUACAAUCUGUUUCUCUGAAUUGCCUUGUGAGAGCCUGACACUGUAAGGUCGUAUCUAUUUGGCAAUAGAACAAACGUUCAAAAGAUGCCCACCUGACCCAGAUUGUGAUUCACAAUUAGACGUUCUUGUAUUGUGCAAACAACAGAGGAGAUCCAGGAAAGAAGAACUGGACAGAGAGAACACAGGAGAACAUAGAGAGAGGGGAGGCCCACACAAGACAAACAUGGCAUAUUCCUCUCAAUGCUAGAAGAAGUAAUCUCUCAAAAAAGAAAGACGCCACUUCUGACAUAUCCUGUGUGUAUAAAUUGUAGGUUAGAUCCUGAUAUUGUGUGUGUGUGUGCGUAUAUUGCUUCUCUGUAUGUUUAUCUGUUCAGAAAACGCCAUAUUGCUACAGCACUGAUGCUAUGCCAUCUCUAAUAAUAUAGGAGAUCCAGGAAAGAAGAACUGGACAGAGAGAACAUAGGAGAACAUAGAGAGAGGGGAGGCCCACAUAAGACAAACAUGGCAUAUUCCUCUCAAUGCUAGAAGAAGUAAUCUCUCAAAAAAGAAAGAUGCCACUUCUGACAUAUCCUGUGUGUAUAAAUUGUAGGUUAGAUCCUGAUAUGUUCCCAUCACUGAAGGCAAUCAUAUAGGCCGCACUGACCAUCCCAGUUAGCGGCUGUGAGAGAUCUUUCAGUGCAUUAAUACAUCUAUAUACCUGGUUUAGGAGCCCAAUGACCCAAGAUAGAAUGCCUCAUGGCAAUUGACAAAGAUAUACAUACUAACACGCUUGGGAAAGAGUGAAGUCAUAGACAGGUUUGCAGCUACAGUUUCAUUUAGUUUAAUUUCUUAUUUUUAUGGAUGGACUAACAUCCUAGUACUCGCAAACAUUGUGAAUAUUUAGUUGGAGAAAGGGUUGUAUGCUGGUAUGUACAUGUGUAAAAUUGUGAAGUGUUGUUACUACAGGGUGUUGGAGAUAGUGUAUUUGUUUUUGUGUAAUUCAUUAGGUCGAAAUAUUGUCCUGUAGCUAAUUGACCUUGGAAUCUGUGAUUUAUUAC